rnacentral:lncRNA from 1 species
CCCACACCCCGGAUCCAGCCCCGCCAUCGUCAUCUCCCCUCCAGCCGUGCUUUUCCGGAAGGCAGCGCUGCCCCUACCCCCGCCGCGCUGGGCCUGGCUCCUCUUGACCUGCUUGGAGCCGCCCCAUCUGGCUGCUGUUCUGGGUUCCAGGACAGCCACGUGAGGGCUGUUUACAGAGGGAAGGAAGUGGCUCCUAACAGAGGACAGAUGAUUCUCAAAAGACACCUGCUUUUCCUGUAGAACAGACUUUUUCAGCGGGAUUUACCUUUCAGUGAAACAUGAUUUGACUUGAAAAGGAACCCAGGGAGAAGUCUGAGACCACAGCUGUCCGGGUGUGAGCGUGAGCGGGUAGAGGUGUGCCCUUGUUUGCCUCAGGCUGUCUGAUUUUCUCAGGCUGAGUUUUUUCUGUUUCUGUCCAUGGAGGAAGAGAAAGAUGACAGCCCAGAGGCUGGCUUCUGCCUGGGCACCGCUCUGCACUCUUGGGGGCUGUGGUUCACGGAGGAAGGUUCACCGUCCACCAUGGUAAUUACCUCACACUUCCCUGGGGCCAGACCUGGAUGGGCCGUGGCCUUUUUCACCCCUCCCUGCUCCCAUCCCCUGGCUCAUUCCUGCCCAGCCUGUGGUUGGGGUGGGGGCAGGCUUAGGGCUAGGGUUAGUUUUGUGGCCUUGCUGAUGGGCACCAUGUCUCCACUCUUGGCCAGCUGGCGGGGAUUGCGGUUGGAGCCCUUCUGGCCCUGGUCUUGGCUGGUGUUCUCAUCCUUUUCACGUUCAGAAGGCUUAGCCCAUUUCGACAAGCACAGCCCACUCCUCAGUACCGGUUCCGAAAGAGAGACAAAGUGA